AGCAGUGGCUCUUAGCAGUACAGGAGCACCUGGUCUAGGAUAGCAGAAAUAGAUGGAAUUGAAAAUUCUAGAUAAUUUUCCAUCAAAUAAAACAUCAUGAAGAAUUUGCAGAAGAAAUAUUUUUUUUAAUUUUUUUGGGAUAGUAUCCAUCUAUAAAUAUGUCCAGAGAAAUAUAUUCAAUUAUUAAAGGAUUCUUCAUCAUCAUCAUCAUCAUAAUGUGAGAACAGACUGCAGGACUAAAUGGAUUUUUGGCCUCAGUUGGUACAGAGCUUAUGCUGUUUUGUACUCUGCCUGAGUUACAUGUUUAGCCCUUGUGAAUCUGUUAAAGAGACAUCAGUGAGGAAAGUUGCAGCUAUUACAGUUCUAUCUCUUCUGCUCGUCUCAUGUUAUAAAGCUGUCUCAAACAAGAUGGCAGGAAGUAGAUACGAAAGGAAAAAAGGCAAAAGAGCUUAUAAUGAUCCUGCUUUUUCUCCCUCCAAAGAUGGGAAGAUGGAGGAGGAAACAACUUUCAUUCACCAUCUUAUUUGGAGACAAUCCUACGUAUAGUGAGGAUGACCUGAAUAAAAAAUGUGAAACACACCACCAGCUUUGAUUGGGCUCUUAGCAAAAUAUUAAUUCCAAUUUCACAUAGAAAGAAAAUACAGCUUUCAUUUUCUGUAUGGUUGUUUAUAGCCUUACUACUGGAAAACUUCAAUGUUUGAUUUUUGCUAGAAAAAAACCUGGAAAAAAAAAAAAGAAAUCAUCAAGGAAAACUUGUUUGAAAUAAUCAAGUGUCUUUUUCCUGCUGCUUUUCUUUACAACUGGUAUAAUUUCAACACUACUGUUCCAAAAUCUAUUGUCUAAUCAUGUGUGGUAAGCUUUUCCAUAACAAAACUUGAAAAGAUCCUUCUGUUCCCCCGUGAGCAGUUAUCACUGUAUUCCCCCAUCACAUUUGCACAUUAGCAAAGCUUUAUCCCAUCAUCAUAUAUGGGUUUUUGUUUUGUUUUGUUUUGAAAGCACUGAGGUAACUCUCAGGUGGCAUCUCACAAACAGUGAGUGGGUGUGUCACUUGCUAAAUGACCCAGCCAGCUGGACAGAGUGAGGUACAAUUUACUGGCAAUGUAUUAAAAGUGCCUUGGGAAAUGAUUCCUUUAAAUGUUCCCACUACUGGUGCAAUACAGAUUAAGACCUUGGCAUGAAUCAGAAGAAAAAUUAAAUAAUAAUGACUUUUGGAAAGCAGGAGAAAAGAUUAAAAAGAGCUCCAGUGUUUGAAUAAGUGCUGCCAACUCUAAUUUCAAACAGCCAAAAUGCAGACACUGUUUUCAUUGGAGAAUAUCAAUGACCAGGCUGGUUCAAUGCUUUUCUAGAUGCUGCACAGAUAUCAACACUGAUAAUAUAGGGAAGAAAGGUAGUUGAGUGAGCAGAUUGUGUAUUUUCAAGAUCUAUGAUUUUUUUUAUUUACUCCUUUUUUAAAUCUCAUUGUAGUGAUGAAGUUUUUAUUAAGAAUGCUAUCUCAUAUAUCCAUUAUAUUAAGAAUAAGCAACUGGUGAAUUUGAAGGAGCUGGAUGCUUCAAAAGCAGGGGUGUCAAACUUGCAACAUUAUGUGAUGUGUUGCAACAUAUCACAACCUUUUUUCCAUUGCUGGCAAUGGGGUGGGCGUGGUUUCGGCAUGACGCAUCCGGCCUGAGGGCUGGCAGUUUGACACCCCUGCUUUAAAGCAUUUAAGAUAAAAAUUGUUGCAGAUAGUCCUUGACUUACAACCAUUUACUUAAUGAGUGUUUGAAGUUACAACACAACUUACAAUCUGUGCAGUUAUGACUGUUCUAGCAUUCCCACAGGUGCCCAGAUCAAAAUUUGGUUGCUUGGCAACUGGCAUGUGUUUACAAUGAUUGCAGCAUCCUGGAAUCACAUGGUUGCCCAUUUCUGACCUUUUCAGGGGUUUUGAUAAGCAAAGUCAAUGGGAGAAGCUGAAUUUGCUUAAGAACCACAUGAUUCACUUAAUAACCAUUGGAAUUCACUUAACAAAUGUGACUCACUUAACAACUGCAUUGCUUAGCAGUGGAAAUUCUGGCUUCAAUUGUGGUUGUAAGUUGAGGACUACCUGUAUAGAGCCGGGCCCUAUCCUAUUUGGGCCACUAUCAGAGGGAUGAAUGGAUGGCAGAGGGAGAAUGUUGGAAUUAUGAGGUACUGUAGAAAGAAUUUAGGUUUUGACCUGAAAUCUGAAUAUUCUGGUUUCUGAUGGAAGCUGUGUAUGUUCAGAUUCACAUGGCUGAAAUUUCUGAAGUUUUCCUAGGCAACAUACUCAUGAACUUUGUUCUAGGUAAUGGAGAUACCAAGAAUGCUUUUAAGAUCAGCACCAGUGGGCUGCUCCCACCUGAUAAAUUUAUAAAUGUUAAGUCCAUUGAAUUGCCAUAACAAGUAUUCUUUAUAAAGAAACUAAUUGCAUAAAUGGAUAUACAUUCAAAUUUUACAACUGCAUGAGUCAGCAAGAAGAAUCCCUGUUAACCCACAUUUUACUAAACAAACCCAUUAAAUCAACUUAUUUUGAUUGCCAAAAACAUGUUUUGAAAAUAAAACCCAAUUACUGACAAUAUACUGAUCCUGUAAAUUCUGCUCUUUUCAGAUUAAAUGAUCCUUGCUUGAAAUCAUCAAAAGUAAUAAAACUAUUAGUAGGCUUUGGAAUGUAACAGAAAAUUGGAGAAAAUAGUUGUCUCCCAACCUAUACCUUAAUAAUAAUGGAAUCAAAUAAUAACAUCAAUAAUUAACAUGCUGAUGACCAUGAUGAAUUGUGCAAGUUCUUACUAAUGCAAGAAAUUAAAAAGAGAUGGAAGAGGGCUCCAGUCUGAGUGCAAUGAUCUCCCUUCUUACUCUUUAAAUCCAAGAAUUUUGAAGUUAGCAGGAAGCAGCCAAAACUAACACUGAAGACAGUAUAUUGUUCUUUGGCUGCUUGGACAUUAUUAGAUUAUCUAAUUCUAAUCUUGUUCCCUCCCCUCAAUCUUUUUAAAUCUCAAUUGAAAAUUCUGGGGUUAACUUUUAAAUCAUUUAGUGCUAAUAACCAGGUUCUUUAGGAUUUUAUUAAGCUUCUGUUUUGAUUAUACAGAUUACUUAUUUAUUUAGCGUAUGGCAUAUCAUACAUGGACUAGCAUUAUAUAGUAACAUUUCAUCUAGAUUAGUAAAACAGAAUAAAAUAUAAAUGUUAAAAAGAUCUAUGUUCAAAUACCAGUGUCUAGGCCAUCUAACCACUGAAGCACAAUAUUAUACAGUAUAAAUAGGAAACACCAAAGAUAGCAAUAGAUAUUGGAGAACAAACAAAAGAUAAUAUCUAUUGUUUUCCAUUCUUUAUAGAAAUGAAAAUAUGAUAAUUCACAUUAUUUUAAUCUUUUAUUUGUAGUAUUAUACCAAGAUAGAAAAUACAAAAGGUGCUUCUGAUUAAUAGAAAAAUCAGCCAUUAAACAGGGUUAAACUUGUUUGGAGGAUGUGGGUUAUACUUCCUGUGGAAUCAUGUUUUACUACUUUAGAGAUCCACUGCUGGAUCUCUUCUGGCUUGCCAACACUGCUUCUUGAAAGAGCACUAUUGAUACCAGCACACUUUCAGGAAACAUACUUUUGAUAAAAUGAUACAGAAAUCAGCAGAGAUCAGCCCUUGAUGGACUAUGUUACUUAAUGCCAAAAAGAG